CACCGCAGCCCUUCGCCUUCCCAGCGCCUUCCCGCGCCGGCCUUUCUUUCCCGCUUUCCCCGGGAGAAACAUGGCCGGGAGCAGCGAGGAGGCGCCAGACUACGGGCGAGGCGUCGUGAUUAUGGAUGAUUGGCCAGGAUAUGACUUGAACUUGUUCACGUACCCACAGCACUAUUAUGGAGAUUUGGAAUAUGUCCUCAUACCUCAUGGCAUCAUUGUGGACAGAAUCGAGCGGCUGGCUAAGGAUAUUAUGAAAGACAUAGGCUACUGUGACAUCAUGGUCCUGUGUGUGCUUAAAGGAGGUUACAAAUUCUGUGCGGAUCUUGUGGAACACCUGAAGAACAUCAGCCGGAAUUCAGAUCGAUUUGUCUCUAUGAAGGUCGAUUUCAUCAGACUGAAGAGUUACAGGAAUGACCAGUCCAUGGGCGAGAUGCAGAUAAUUGGGGGCGAUGAUCUUUCGACACUGGCUGGAAAGAAUGUUCUCAUCGUUGAGGAUGUCGUUGGAACUGGGAGGACCAUGAAAGCACUGCUCAGCAGCAUAGAGAAAUACAAGCCCAACAUGGUGAAAGUGGCCAGUUUGUUGGUGAAGAGAACACCUAGAAGUGAUGGCUUUAGACCUGACUGUUUUGCUUUCCAGCCCUUUAACCAGCCGAGGACAGGAGCACGAUGCUGGAUUUGAGAUUCCAAACUUAUUUGUGGUGGGCUAUGCCUUAGAUUACAAUGAAUACUUCAGAGAUCUGAAUCACAUUUGCGUGAUCAAUGAACAUGGUAAAGAAAAAUACCGAGUCUAAAGAAGUCAAUUCUUCCCAAGUUCCCAGCUAACAUCACACUUAAAGGCUACCCUCAGGAAGCCAGCCGUAAAGUUUGUCUCCUUGGGCAUCUUCACUCAGCAGGAUGUAGAAGGAAAAAAGUCUUAUUGAGAGCGCUUCCUUUUCUGAGGUUAUACUACAGAGUACCACAGGUUCUUAAGGAAAGGAAAGCAAACCUUCUAUUUGACUUAUUCCAAAGUAAACACUCCACCUCGUGACCCAGGAGUUCUACCCACCUUUGCACUCCUGAGCUGCACUUCCUUUGGUGUUGAUACAGUCGUGUUUGAUUACCAUUCCCAGGAAUACUCCCACCUAGUUACUCAAAUAUUUUCCACUUCAUUUUUUUUCCUGACUCUACUUUGGUAACUAUCUGACAACAUCAAGCACCUGGAAGCCUGUUUGCAUAAGCCCUGGGUCCACACACUGGGAAUAUGAACUAAGUUCCCAUACUAAAAGGAGGAGGGAAAGGACAUUUGAAUAUACAUUUCUGUUUGCAACCUUCUGACAGGCCAUCAUUAUCUGCUUUGACAAAGUCUUUCUGAAGCGUGCUGGAUAAUGGAUCUUAAUGAGGUUAUGAAAUGAGCCCUGCGUGGCGCUCUUGAUCUGAGCUUCUGGUAUGUGAGGAUGGUAUGUCACAUAUGCCUGGGUGUACUCAACUGUGCUGAAUACUCUGAAUUUUAAUUAGGAAGAGCACAAUGGCAGCAAGGCCCUGGUUUCUGAGCGGCAUCCUUUUAUUGAUGUGGGACACGAGCACAUGGCAGAAUGGAAGGGAGAGUGUUUUCUGGGCUCCAAACUAAACAAGUGUACGUUUUCCUCCUGAUUUGCAUCGGAGGACAAGAUAUCUUAGCUGUCCUGCACAGGAAUACAGAGGCUGCAUUACCGUUUUAAGUGUCCUUUAAAGACUUCAUCGCACAAUCAAGGCUCUGUAGGAAAUAAGCAUACUGAAGAAAGUUUUUCCUGAACAUUUUUCUUAUAUUUCCACCAUUGUAAGAGACAUUUUCAUUAAAAAUAAACUGGAGUGCCAGUAGAGCGUUUUUUUUCUCUCCUCACUUCCUAAAAGAAGCAAUUGCAAAACAAAUAACUAAGCAGCCUUUGUUUGGUUCCGAACAGCAUGUGGCGUAUUGUGAUUAAGGUCUGGCUUCCUCUAAACCAAUAAAGAAUAAGAAAACCUGUAUAUUUCA